UGCAUCAGCAGCACCAUGCUCCAGUGCUCUGGGAGAGUUUAUAGUCCUGAGAGUUGAAGACUGGAUGACUGACAGCUGUCCUUCAUCACAACAGAAGACUUGGAAAUCCUCCUGAUCAAAACCAUGACUUUGAUCUGCGUCCUCAUCUGGACUCUCCUCUGCUGCUGCUUCACAGAGUCCAGAGGUCAGGUCACAGUGACUCAGUCUGCAGCAGUGAGCUCUGCUGUGGGACGCUCCGUCUCCAUCUCAUGUAGGACCAGUCAGGAAGUAAAUGGCAACUAUUUAUCCUGGUACCAACAGAAAGAUGGACAACCUCCUAAACUCCUCAUUUAUUAUGCUGACACCCAUGAUUUAGGAAUCUCAGAUCGUUUUUCAGGCAGUGGAUCUGGAUCUGACUUCACUCUGACCAUCAGUGGAGUUCAGGCUGAAGAUGCUGCAGUUUAUUACUGUCAGAGUUUUCAUUAUAUAAACAGCCAGCGUCUGUUCACACAGUGA